rnacentral:rRNA from 1 species
CCUACGGGGGGCUGCAGUUUCGAAUCAUUCACAAUGGGCGAAAGCCUGAUGGUGCGACGCCGCGUGAGGGAUGAAGGUCUUCGGAUUGUAAACCUCUGUCACUGGGGAGAAAACGCUUUGAGUUAAUAGUUCAAAGCCUGAUUUAACCCGGAGAGGAAGCAGUGGCUAACUCUGUGCCAGCAGCCGCGGUAAUACAGAGACUGCAAGCGUUCUUCGGAUUCACUGGGGCGGUUGGGUGCGCAGGAUGUGAAAUCCCGAGGCUUAACCUCGGAACUGCGUCUGAAACUACUCGACUAGAGUACUGGAGAGGGAAACAGAAUUCACGGUGUAGCAGUGAAAUGCGUAGAUAUCGUGAGGAACACCAGAGGCGAAGGCGGUUUCCUGGACAGUUACUGACGCUCAGGCACGAAAGCAUGGGGAGCAAAAGGGAUUAGAUACCCUUGUAGUC